CUCCCGCAAUAUUAUGAUGUUCCCCAAGUUUUGGACUCAAUCCGAUAUCGAUCGGUCCACGAAAUUUGACAAUUCAGGUUCGUACGAAGUUUGUUCUGAAAUGGGGUGGUUGGUGUAUUGUCUAGUUGUAGGGAUUGUAUUUCACUCAAAACUUACCAAAUGACUCCUCCCACAAUAUUAUGAUGUUCCUUAAGUUUUGGACUCAAUCCGAUAUCGAUUGGUCCUUGAAAUCGGACAAUUCAGGUUCGUACGAAGUUCGUUCUGAAAUGGGGUGGUUGGUGUAUUGUAUAGUUCUCGAGAUUGGAUUUCACUCAAAACCCACUAAAUGACUCCUCCCACAAUAUGAUGUUCCCCAAGUUUGGACUCAAUCCGAUAUCGAGUGGUCACGAAAUUGACAAAUCAGGUUCGUACGAAGUUCGUUCUGAAAUGGAGUGGUUGGUGUAUUGUUUAGUUCUAGGGAUUGUAUUUCACUCAAAACUUACCAAAUGACUCCUCCCACAAUAAUUAGAAGUUCCCCUAGUUUUGGACUCAAUUCGAUAUCGAUUGGUAAUUUGAAAUCGGACAAUUCAGGUUCGUACGAAGUUUGUUCUGAAAUGGGGUGGUUAGUGUAUUGUAUAGUUCUAGGGAUUGUGUUUCACACAAAACUUACCAAAUGACUCCUCCCACAAUAUUAUGAUGUUCCCCAAGUUUUGGACUCAAUCCGAUAUCGAUUGGUCCUUGAAAUCGGACAAUUCAGGUUCGUACGAAGUUCGUUCUGCAAUGGGGUGGUUGGUGUAUUGUAUAGUUCUGGAGAUUGGAUUUGACUCAAAACCCACCAAAUGACUCCUCCCACAACAUUAUGAUGUUCCCCAAGUUUUGCACUCAAUCCGAUAUCGAUUGGUCCUCAAAAUCGGACAAUUCAGGUUCGUACGAAGUUCGUUCUGAAAUGGGGUGGUUGGUGUAUUGUANNNNNNNNNNNNNNNNNNNNNNNNNNNNNNNNNNNNNNNNNNNNNNNNNNNNNNNNNNNNNNNNNNNNNNNNNNNNNNNNNNNNNNNNNNNNNNNNNNNNNNNNNNNNNNNNNNNNNNNNNNNNNNNNNNNNNNNNNNNNNNNNNNNNNNNNNNNNNNNNNNNNNNNNNNNNNNNNNNNNNNNNNNNNNNNNNNNNNNNNNNNNNNNNNNNNNNNNNNNNNNNNNNNNNNNNNNNNNNNNNNNNNNNNNNNNNNNNNNNNNNNNNNNNNNNNNNNNNNNNNNNNNNNNNNNNNNNNNNNNNNNNNNNUGAAAUGUGGUGGUUGGUGUAUUGUAUAGUUUUAGGGAUUGUAUUUCACUCAAAACUUACCAAAUGACUCCUCCCACAAUAUUAUGCUGUUCUCCAAGUUUUGGACUCAAUCCGAUAUCGAUCGGUCCUCGAAAUUUGACAAUUCGGUUUCGUCCGAAGUUCGUUCUAAAAUGGAGUGGUUGGUGUAUUGUAUAGUUCUAGGGAUUCUAUUUCACUCAAAACCCACCAAAUGACUCCUCCCACAAUAUUAUGAUGUUCCCCAAGUUUUGGACUCAAUCCGAUAUCGAUUGGUCCUUGAAAUCGGACAAUUCAAGCUCGUACGAAGUUCGUUCCAAAAUGGGGUGGUUGGUGUAUUGUAUAGUUCUAGAGAUUGGAUUUCACUCAAAACCCACCCAAUGACUCCUCCCACAAUAUUAUGAUGUUCCCCAAGUUUUGGACUCAAUCCGAUAUCGAUUGGUCCUUGAAAUCGGACAAUUCAGGUUCCUACGAAGUUCGUUCUCAAAUGGGGUGGUUGGUGUAUUGUAUAGUUCUAGGGAUUGUAUUUCACUCAAAACUUACCAAAUGACUCCUCCCACAAUAUUAUGAUGUUCCUUAAGUUUUGGACUCAAUCCGAUAUCCAUUGGUCCUUGAAAUCGGACAAUACAGGUUCGUACGAAGUUCGUUCUGAAAUGGGGUGGUUGGUGUAUUGUAUAGUUCUCGAGAUUGGAUUUCACUCAAAACCCACUAAAUGACUCCUCCCACAAUAUUAUGAUGUUCCCCAAGUUUUGGACUCAAUCCGAUAUCGAGUGGUCCACGAAAUUUGACAAUUCAGGUUCCUCCGAAGUUCGUUCUGAAAUGGAGUGGUUGCUGUAUUGUUUAGUUCUAGGGAUUGUAUUUCACUCAAAACUUACCAAAUGACUCCUCCCACAAUAUUAUGAUGUUCCCCUAGUUUUGGACUCAAUCCGAUAUCGAUUGGUAAUUUGAAAUCGGAGAAUUCAGGUUCGUACGAAGUUUGUUCUGAAAUGGGGUGGUUAGUGUAUUGUAUAGUUCUAGGGAUUGUAUUUCACUCAAAACUUACGAAAUGACUCCUCCCACAAUAUUAUGAUGUUCCCCAAGUUUUGGACUCAAUCCGAUAUCGAUUGGUCCUUGAAAUCGGACAAUUCAGGUUCCUACGAAGUUCGUUCUGAAAUGUGGUGGUUGGUGUAUUGCAUAGUUCUCGAGGUUGGAUUUCACUCAUAACCCACCAAAUGACUCCUCCCACAAUAUUAUGCUGUUCCCCAAGUUUUGGACUCAAUCCGAUAUCGAUUGGUCCCUGAAAUCGGACAAUUCAGGUUCCUACGAAGUUCGUUCUGAAAUGGGGUGGUUGAUGUAUUGUAUAGUUCUGGGGAUUGUAUUUCACUCAAAACUUACCAAAUAACUCCUCCCACAAUAUUAUGAUGUUCCCCAAGUUUUGGACUCAAUCCGAUAUCGAUUGGUCCUUGAAAUCGGACACUUCAGGUUCGUACGAAGUUCGUUCUGAAAUGUGGUGGUUGGUGUAUUGCAUAGUUCUCGAGAUUGGAUUUCACUCAAAACCCACCCAAUGACUCCUCCCACAAUAUUAUGCUGUUCCCCAAGUUUUGGACUCAAUCCGAUAUCGAUCGGUCCACGAAAUUUGACAAUUCAGUUUCGUCCGAAGUUCGUUCUAAAAUGGAGUGGUUGGUGUAUUGUAUAGUUCUAGGGAUUCUAUUUCACUCAAAACCCACCAAAUGACUCCUCCCACAAUAUUAUGAUGUUCCCCAAGUUUUGGACUCAAUCCGAUAUCGAUUGGUCCUUGAAAUCGGACAAUUCAAGCUCGUACGAAGUUCGUUCCAAAAUGGGGUGGUUGGUGUAUUGUAUAGUUCUAGAGAUUGGAUUUCACUCAAAACCCACCCAAUGACUCCUCCCACAAUAUUAUGAUGUUCCCCAAGUUUUGGACUCAAUCCGAUAUCGAUUGGUCCUUGAAAUCGGACAAUUCAGGUUCCUACGAAGUUCGUUCUCAAAUGGGGUGGUUGGUGUAUUGUAUAGUUCUAGGGAUUGUAUUUCACUCAAAACUUACCAAAUGACUCCUCCCACAAUAUUAUGAUGUUCCUUAAGUUUUGGACUCAAUCCGAUAUCCAUUGGUCCUUGAAAUCGGACAAUUCAGGUUCGUACGAAGUUCGUUCUGAAAUGGGGUGGUUGGUGUAUUGUAUAGUUCUCGAGAUUGGAUUUCACUCAAAACCCACUAAAUGACUCCUCCCACAAUAUUAUGAUGUUCCCCAAGUUUUGGACUCAAUCCGAUAUCGAGUGGUCCACGAAAUUUGACAAAUUAUGAUGUUCCCCAGGUUUUGGACUCAAUCCGAUAUCGAUUGGUGAAUGAAAUCGGACAAUUCAACGUCGUAUGAAGGUCGUUCUGAAAUGGAAUGGUUGGUGUAUUGUAUAGUUGUAGGGAUUGGAUUUCGCCCAAAAGCCACCAAAUGACUCCUCCCACAAUAUCAUGAGGUUCCCCAAGUUUUGGACUCAAUUCGAUAUCGAUUGGUCCGGGAAAUCAGAGAAUUCAAGUUCAUACGAAUUUCGAUCUGAAAUGGAGUGGUUGGUGUAUUGUAUAGCUCUAGAGAUUGGAUUUCACUCAAAACCCACCAAAUGACAACUCCCACAAUAUUAUGAUGUUCCCCAAGUUUUGGACUCAAUCCGAUAUCGAUUGGUCCUUGAAAUCGGACAAUUCAGGUUCGUACGAAGUUCGUUCUGAAAUGGGGUGGUUGGUGUAUUGUAUAGUUCUAGAUUUUCGAUUUCACUCAAAACCCACCAAAUGACUCCUCCCACAAUAUUACGAUGUUCCCCAAGUUUUGCACUCAAUCCGAUAUCGAUUGGUCCAUCAAUUUGGCCAAUUCCGGUUCGUGCGAACUGUGUUCUGAAAUGGAGUGGUUGGUCUAUUGCACAGUUCUAAAGAUUGGAUUUCACUCAAAAUCCACCAAAUGACUCCUUCCACAAUAUUAUGAUGUUCCCUAAUGUUGUGUUCCUUCCAAGUGCCAAUAUAUGGUUAGUAUAAUGGUACAAGUAAGGGUGUCGAACCACAGGGACCGAUUGGACCUCUAUAAAUUACUAGUUUUGAAAGAACCCUAACUAAAAAUGAAAGUGACAAUUUGAAAGUAGUUUUUGUGUUGUAAAUGAAAAAUAACUUCCAAUGCAAAAAGAAUGUAGUAGUGAAUAAUAUAUUGAUGUAGAAAGAAUAGGGAAGAGACCAGGGAUUUCGAAUUCACCAUUGCAAAACUAAUUCCAUGUUUAUAAAAUUAAACCGUACUCAACUACCAUUCUGUUUCCAGAGUUCGUUUUACAUAUAUAUGAUCAGCCAUAUGAUGUGUGGUUUUGAUCAAAUUCUCCUAAUCUGCAACCUAGUUGGGAUGUUCAACUUUGGUUCCAAGUUAAGAGUCAUUAGCAUGCAAGAAAAUGUUAAAGAACCAAAGAAAAUACACAGCAUGAUGUUUGCAUAGCAUUCUCUUCAUUCAUUCACAUGUCUAACAAGAUUAAGCAUGAUGUUUACUAUAACCUUGUCUAGAUAAUCUGUAGGCGACUCUAAUGGUGAUCAAACAUUAAAAUUGACAAACAAAUUGAACAAUAGAUUCAGUGAAUGAAACAAGAAACAAAUUGAUGAACUGAAUACUUUAACUUAGAAACAUGGAUCCAUGUUGCAAGGCUACAUCGAAAUCCCUAGCUAUGAAUUUAGUUACACAUCAUGUUCAAAGAGAUUAAAACAAAAAUAAACAACAUGAGUGAAAAUAAAUUCAUGAGAGGAAACCCUUGGACCAAUUAUGAUGUUCAACUUCUCCAAGAACCACCUCUUGCGCUGAGUCCUGAUGGUGGAAAUAUAUGGACGGCUAGGGUUUUAGUGUGCAUGAAAGGAGAGAAUAACCAAGAAGUCAGAUCUAGGGUUGUGAAAUUCGUCCAAAAUAAAUAGGGGUUUUAGAAGUGGCUAAAAGGCAAGUUUUUAUGGGGUAAACAAGGCUGCAAGAUGUUCCAAAGAUAUCCUAAUGAAUCAGCCUUUAUUUUGCACGUUUUUGCCGUAUUUGGCACCUCCAAAUCAGGCUAGAAAUCCCCAUUGCUUUCCCAUUCCGCUCUUAGUCUUCAAACAAGCCAGGUUCGCCUUGCAUUCUUUAUUUGGACUUCAAAACAGAUCACGAAACUUGUUUCCACGUUUGAAUAAGGGUCAGCUCCAAAAAUGGCAUGUUUUCAUUUCUUUUGCCUUCAACUUGAUCCUAAAGUAUAUGCAACUGCAUACUAACACAAAAUAGGAUAAAACGCAACAAGUUUAACUCAAAAACAUCACAAAUAUACUAGAAAUGGAUGGUAUAAAUGUAUAAAUAUAUGAGUUAUCACCUAAGUUUUGGACUUGAUAAGUUCAUAAUUUCACACAUUUGCAUGCCUUCUUUCCUUAGUAAUUUUGUUAGCUUCUCUUUAUUUUGAGUCUCUUACCUAUGUUUGUGUGCUUUGUAGGUUAAGAUAGCAAGGGGAUGACAUUUGAUAUAAUUCAUGCAUGUUAAGGGCUGAGUGGCACAAGAGGAAUAUGAGCUUAAAGACAAAACCAAUUUGUGCCACACUCCUUGUCAGUCCAGUUUCGUAGGUCAUCUUGCAGGCCUCAUUUCAGUAACUUACACAGGUCGGAUGAGGAGACAUCCUUCCUAGAAGUUGUUCCAAUGGGUGUCUAUUAUAACAUAUCCAAAUUGCAGCCCAAUUGGAUAAAUCUGGAGCCAUCAACACGUCAAAGACUGAACCAAGUUCACAGAAAUGUCAUGUUGGCUGCCAUCAUAUUUAAUGUGGCUACAUCCCUAGAGCCAUGUGCUACACAUUAGAGCAGCCACACAUGGGAGACAAAUCAGUAUGGGAACUCAAAAACCAAGAAAAGUCCAACAGGCAAGUAUGGGCAGCUGGAGCAACAGGCAAGUAUGGGCAGCUGGAGCAACAGGCAUGUAUGGGCAGCUAGAGCAGUUGGCAGCAGCUAAGAGAGGUGUGCUUCACCAGCCAAAGGGGAGCACGAAUUCGCACUCUAUAAAUAGAGAGUUGAACACUCAUUCAAGGAGAGAGAGGGCAGACACACACAUUCAUUUCAUCCAUUACUUUCAUACACACAUUCAGAUUCACCACAAAGAGAGAAGGGAGCUUGGAGCUGUCCUGGGAACUUCCUCGCUGCCAUCAUCUAGUUCUUCUCGUCUCUUUAUCCUAUCUAUGUAUUUCUUAUUUUCUGUAUUUAUAGUUAUGUCUAACUAAUCCAUUUAGUUAGGGCUUAGGAUGAAGCCCUAGUCAUGAAUAUUCAAUGUUAUGGAUGAUUUUAUAGUUAAUUGAUUUCCUUGCUUUUAUUAUCAAGUUGUUAAUCUCUAGUUUAUUAUGUGCUUGAUGUAUGUUCUCUUGGAGUAGCUAACUAGGAUUUUAUGCAUCUAGCACAGGUUGGGAAGGGGUUUAGAUUCACCAAUUCUACUCUCCUUUCACAAGCAACACAUGAAUGGCCUAAGAAUCAUUGAAGGGGUUAAUAACCAUAGGUUGACUAGGACAGAUACCAUGUUCUAGGACUUGUGUGAUUAUCAUAUUCUCAAGGAGCUUAAUGACUCUUGUAUGCUUUAUUCUAAGUAGAUACCAUGCUUAGGUUGCAUAUUAGAGAUCACGUGUUGUGUAGAUACCAUGCAUAAUCACAUGCCUUAGGAGAAUCAUGCAUCCUGCACCUAGAUACCAUAGGCUUGUAUAAGAUCUAAUGAAGCUUGAGUCAAUUUCUAUGCAUUCAUCACUUGGAUAGGAAAACUAGUGGUGGAUUCCAAGGCUCUAACACCUCUCCAUCAUUGUUUCACAACUUGUUGAUUGCUGCCAGUGUUUACUUUCGAGCACUUUCAUUUCACUUUCUUGUUUUCAUUUCAACAACAAAACCCCCCAUUUCGAGUGCGUGUGUGGUGCUAGGAUUCUGUCCUAGACCUUGAGUAAUUAGCAAGAGGCAUUGUUGAAUUUGACCUUGCCUUUAGCUAGUUAGUCAGUUUCUUUGUUCUAUGUUUUUCUAGCAUUCUAAGUAAUUUAACUUGGAACCAAGUUACCAUUCUCCGUGGGAUCGACCUCGUAUUUACAUAAGCUAUACUAUAAACGGUUCGUGCACUUGCGAGAAUUAAAGUUGCUGUUUUUAAUAACUCAUUUUAGUUGUUAAGAAUAGGCUCAACAGGACUCAAUCCGAUAUCGAUUGGUCCUCGAAAUCAGACAAUUCAGGUUCAUACGAAGUUCGUUCUGAAAUGGUGUGGUAGGUGUAUUGUAUAGUUCUAUUGAUUGUAUUUCACUCAAAACCAACCAAUUGACUCCUCCCACAAUAUUAUGUUGUUCCCCAAGUUUUGGACUCAAUCCGAUAUCGAUUGGUCAAUGAAAUCGGGCAAUUCAAGUUCGUACGAUGUUCGUUCUGAAAUGGAGUGGUUGGUGUAUUGUAUAGUUCUAGGGAUUGGAUUUCACUCAAAACCCACCAAAUGACUCCUCCCACAAUAUUAUGAUGUUCCCCGAGUUUUGGACUCAAUCGGAUAUCGAUUGGUCCUUGAAAUCGGACAAUUCAGGUUCGUACGAAGUUCGUUCGGAAAUGGAGUGGUUGGUGUAUUGUAUAGUUCUAGAGAUUGGAUUUCACUCAAAACCCACCAAAUGACUCCUCCCACAAUAUUAUGAUGUUCCCCAGGUUUUGGACUCAAUCCGAUAUAGAUUGGUCAAUGAAAUCGGACAAUUCAAGUUCGUAUGAAGGUCGUUCUGAAAUGGAGUGGUUGGUGCAUUGUAUAGCUGUAGGGAUUGGAUUUUACCCAAAAGCCACCAAAUGACAACUCCCACAAUAUUAUGAUGUUCCCCGAGUUUUGGACUCAAUCCGAUAUCGAUUGGUCCUUGAAAGCGGACAAUUCAGGUUCGUACGAAGUUCGUUCUGGAAAUGGGUUGGUUGGUGUAUUCUAUAGUUCUAGAGAUUGGAUUUUACCCAAAAGCCACCAAAUGACAACUCCCACAAUAUUAUGAUGUUCCCCGAGUUUUGGACUCAAUCCGAUAUCGAUUGGUCCUUGAAAUCGGACAAUUCAGGUUCGUACGAAGUUCGUUCAUAAAUGGGGUGGUUGGUGUAUUGUAUAGUUCUGGAGAUUGGAUUUUACCCAAAAGCCACGAAAUGACAACUCCCACAAUAUUAUGAUGUUCCCUGAGUUUUGGACUCAAUUUGAUAUCGAUUGGUCCUUGAAAUCGGACAAUUCAGGUUCGUACGAAGUUCGUUCAUAAAUGGGGUGGUUGGUGUAUUGUAUAGUUCUAGGGAUUGUAUUUCACAAAAAACCCACCAAAUGACUCUUCCCACAAUAUUAUGAUGUUCCCCAAGUUUUGGACUCAAUCUGAUAUCGAUCGGUCCACGAAAUUUGACAAUUCAGGUUCGUACGAAGUUCGUUCAGAAAUGGAGUGGUUGGUGUAUUGUAUAGUUGUAGGGAUUGGAUUUCACUCAAAAUCCACCAAAUGACUCCUCCCACAAUAUUAUGAUGUUCCCUAAGUUUUGGACUCAAUCCGAUAUCGAUUGGUCCUUGAAAUCGGACAAUUCAGGUUCAUACGAAGUUCGUUCGGAAAUAUAGUGGUUGGUGUAUUGUAUAGUUCUGGAGAUUGGAUUUUACUCAAAAGCCACCAAAUGACAACUCCCACAAUAUUAUGAUGUUCCCUGAGUUUUGGACUCAAUCCGAUAUCGAUUGGUCCUUGAAAUCGGACAAUUCAGGUUCGUACGAAGUUCGUUCAUAAAUGGGGUGGUUGGUGUAUUGUAUAGUUCUAGAGAUUGUAUUUCACUCAAAACCCACCAAAUGACUCCUCCCACAAUAUUAUGAUGUUCCCCAAGUUUUGGACUCAAUCCGAUAUCGAGUGGUCCACGAAAUUUGACAAUUCAGGUUCGUACGAAGUUCGUUCUGAAAUGGAGUGGUUGGUGUAUUGUAUAGUUCUAGGGAUUGUAUUUCACUCAAAACUUACCAAAUGACUCCUCCCACAAUAUUAUGAUUUGCUCCAAGUUUUGGACUCAAUCCGAUAUCGAUUGGUCCUUGAAAUCGGACAAUUCAAGUUCCUACGAAGUUCGUUCUGAAAUGGAGUGGUUGGUGUAUUGUAUAGUUCUAGGGAUUGUAUUUCACUCAAAACUUACCAAAUGACUCCUCCCACAAUAUUAUGAUGUUCCCCAAGUUUUGGACUCAAUCCGAUAUCGAUUGGUCCUUUCAAUCGGACAAUUCAGGUUCCUAUGAAGUUCGUUCUGAC
rnacentral:lncRNA from 1 species